rnacentral:rRNA from 1 species
ACGGCUACCUUGUUACGACUUCACCCCAGUUACCGGCUCCACCUUCGGCAGCUCCUUCCUUUCGGUUAGGUCACUGACUUCGGGCAUUUCCGACUCCCAUGGUGUGACGGGCGGUGUGUACAAGACCCGGGAACGUAUUCACCGCGACAUUCUGAUUCGCGAUUACUAGCGAUUCCAGCUUCAUGUAGUCGAGUUGCAGACUACAAUCCGAACUGGGACGUUAUUUUUGGGAUUUGCUUAACGUCACCGUCUCGCUUCCCUUUGUUUACGCCAUUGUAGCACGUGUGUAGCCCUGAUCAUAAGGGGCAUGAUGAUUUGACGUCAUCCCCGCCUUCCUCCCGGUUAUCCCGGGCAGUCUCUCCAGACUGCCCAGCUUUACCUGCUGGCUACUGGAAAUAGGGGUUGCGCUCGUUGCGGGACUUAACCCAACAUCUCACGACACGAGCUGACGACAACCAUGAACCACCUGUCUCCAAUGCCCCCGAAGGGAAAGUGACUUUGCUCACUCGUCAUCGGGAUGUCAAGACCAGGUAAGGUUCUUCGCGUUGCUUCGAAUUAAACCACAUGCUCCA